AACGAACGCUGGCGGCAUGCCUAACACAUGCAAGUCGAACGAGACCUUCGGGUCUAGUGGCGCACGGGUGCGUAACGCGUGGGAACCUGCCCUUAGGUUCGGCCUAACUCCCCGACAGGGGUGCUAAUACCGGAUCAUGUCUUCGGACCAAAGAUUUAUCGCCUUUGGAUGGGCCCGCGUUGGAUUAGCUAGUUGGUAGGGUAAAAGCCUACCAAGGCGACGAUCCAUAGCUGGUCUGAGAGGAUGAUCAGCCACACUGGGACUGAGACACGGCCCAGACUCCUACGGGAGGCAGCAGUGGGGAAUAUUGGACAAUGGGCGAAAGACUGAACCAGCAAUGCCGCGUGAGUGAUGAAGGCCUUAGGGUUGUAAAGCUCUUUUACCCGGGAUGAUAAUGACAGUACCGGGAGAAUAAGCUCCGGCUAACUCCGUG
rnacentral:rRNA from 1 species